CGGUGUGAUUCGAUUGUCGUCUCUGUCGUCGUGUCGCGGAAAUGGAUGGCGAGAGAAAAGGGCUGGAGAAAGAUUAAGUUAAAACCAAAUUCAAGUUUGAAUUUUGGAUUUGUGUAGGAGAACAAAUGAACUAUGAAGAGAAAAAAUAUGUAAUUUCCAUGGUUAGAUGAUUUUUGGCAGAAAUUCGGAAACUUUCCUUCAAUUAUGGUGGAAGCAUAUCUAUCAGGGAAGGGAGAAGAUAUCCAAGCCGAGAUUCCAUAUGCAGAUGUAUGAUAUUUAGUUAUAAUUAAAACUACAUCAUUUUGUUUGUGGGACAUGGAGUGGGACACAUAAACUGGUACACUGGAUCCGAUCUGUCUCUAUACCCCUAUUUCAUUUUUGUUAUUUUCGUUUUCU
rnacentral:lncRNA from 1 species